rnacentral:pre_miRNA from 1 species
ACAACGUUCGGCCCGUCGGUCUACCGAGCAAUAUCACCCGCUCGGUGGAAGAUCUUCUCUUUGUCAU